rnacentral:lncRNA from 10 species
UCAGGUCAUGACAAAUAUUGUACUGUAUUAACCGAUACUAAAACUUAGGGAUGCUUUUUUCUUGCACACAGUAACAGGAACUCAGCAAGAUGUUAUUAGCCACAUCUUACCUGUAAGAGAACUGAAGCUGAGAGGUAUGAUCUCCUAAAGCCACACAAGCUAGUGAAAAGCAGAACAAACCAGGUUGAUUACAAAGAUGAACUCUUCCAGGAGAAUCUAAUAGCUCUUUAAGCAAAGAGACUGCUGCUAGGCCCACCCACCAGUCCCUGCCCUAUGCAAGUGAAUCCUAGCAGGGGAAGAGAUUACUCUGCAACUAAGACCCUUGGAAUUGCAGUACAGUGAAAUCACCUGCUUCCAGCCCUCAACUCCAAAACAUCUAGGAUGAUUGACCUCCACAAAGCAAGCCCAGCACUUUCUCCCGACUUGAGGCAGAUUUUUCAGGCAUGAAAGGUCACAGCUGCACCCUCACUCCCAUUCCAACCCCACCAAGGAGUUGGCAGAAAGUCCAGGCCAGCUGAAAACCCAGCCGUGGGAUAGCCUGCUCCAGCCAGCAACUGUGUGUCACCUCCACUGAUCUCCUGGGCCUGAGCAAGUCAGGAUAUAUGUCAGCUCCCACCUGGGGUGGCUACUUCUUAAUGUUGCUGAGGUCCUUAGAGCAGGAGCCAAGAAAAAUGCAGCAAUUGUGAGACUCUGCAAUUCUGGAAUCUCUGUUAAAUGCUUGAGUUGUGAAGGUGCAAACAUAAACCUCAUUAUCUCUUUUCUGGGAAUUUUGCUUUUCCAAAAGAGUAUUUGCCACUAGCCCCUUUGACAGCGGCAAACAUAAGGAUAUUGUGGGUUCUGACAGAACAAAUUUCCUUCUGGAAAUAGUUGCAGAAAGAGGACAAAGGAGGCCAAAAUGAGUGCAAGUGGGUAGCAAAAACUCAACAUACCAACCCCAGUGUUGUUCCCUGCCACCUCCUCCCCCUGCUUGCACUUCAGCUUGAGUUGGGAAUGCCUGCUGCCAAAAGUGCCAGUGCAGUUAAAUGCUGCUUAGCCUCACCAGUGGCUUCUCUCUCACUUGGAGAAAUAAUAACUAGUCAAAUGCUGAAGAUCCUCCAGGCAUAUUAAUGAUCUGUUCAUGUUGUUUAUAGGACAAAUGGAAUGACUAUAACCAAGAUGCUGACAGUGAGUGAUGAUUACUAUCUGACAAAGCACUAUUCUCAGUAAAGUCUGGUUUUCAUCUGGGGAGACUGAGGGAAAAUUCAAAGGCGCAAAGCAAAUGGCAGAAGCCUGGCAGAUUUUUGUACCGGUUUCUAACAUUCAUGGAUUCCCUAGCAUGCUCCAGGCACUGUGAAGUGGUUACUUAGUUAUCUCCUUAAUCUACACAACAGGUACCUCUGAAGUGAGUACUGUGAUCCUUACCUAUAGCCAAAGAACCCUGGUAACUUAUCUAGGCUUCCACAGUGGCAAAGAAAAAUAUCCCUAAGGGAUUCUGACCAAGUCCUUAAAUCAUUAGCACCAUUGGUCAAGACUCAGUUGCAAGAGACAGAAACCCAGCUCAACGUAUGCACCAUCUAACUAACUUCAGGCAUGGCUAGAUCCAUGGAUCUAACCAUGUCACAUGCACUAACUCCAUCUCUCCUCAUUGAUCUUUUUAUCUCAGUUUGCCACAGCUUCAUUCUGUGUGUGUCGUAAACUUUAUUCUCUUCUGCAGCAGAGCUUCCCCUUAUACAAUCGGGAAGCUGAACACAAAUAGUUCCAGCCAACAUUAUCAUUUAUCUCAUGAUCCCAGAGGAAGAGAGAGCCUUUCUUUUUCAGAAUCCAUGUGUAAUCUCUCAGGGGAGAUGCUGGCUCCAUUCAGGUCACAUUGCAUCUAUCCUUAAACCAGUCACCACAGUGGGGAGUUGAGUCCCGUGACUGACAGCCCACUGAGAUCACAUGAAGAGCGAAGCAGUGUCUCUGUGAAAGGAAGGUUACUGGACAAAACCCAGAUGCCUAUUAGAAGCAAUUUAAUAGAACUAAUUGGGACUUAACUUAGAUGGAGUCCCUUAUGAACUUGGGUCUGCCAGUUUUCAUGGGAUUAAUUUCUUUUUGUUUUACAAUCUCUCGUGUGUGGGAUAUACUUGUUAAAAUGGGAUCAGAAGAACACACCAGGAAGCCCCAACCAGGUUUGUGUGUGUGUUAGAAUUAAUUUUAAAGUGAGUGGCUAGCAGUUUUCUUUCUAGAAUAAAACUGGCCUGGACACUCCAAAAAUGGUCAUUUCAUAAAAGGAAAAAAAGAAAAUAACGCUGAGGAACCACACCAGAUUAAGGAGACUCAAGAAUCAUGACAACUAAAUACAGUCUGUGAUCUUUUUUAUUAGAUCCUGGAUUUAAAACUGUAUAUUAAAAUGGCAUUAUUGUGACAAUUUUUCAAUCUUAGUAUCUCUAGGUUAGAUAAUGAUAUUUCAUUAAUGUCACAUUUCCUGAGUGAGACUGUGGUUAUAUGGAAGAAUGUCCUUGUUAUUAAGGGGCACAUGCUGCAGUAUUGGCGGAUGAAGAGUCGAUUAUGCAACUAAUUUUCAAAUGGCUCAGAAAAAGAUAUAUACACACAGAUAUAAGGAGAGAAAAAAUAGAAACUAUAGCAAAAUAUUAAGAAUUGAUGAAUCCAGGUGAAAGGUAUAUGGGUGUUCAUUAUAACACUGUACUAUUCUUGUAACACUUCUCUAGAUUUCAAAUUUUUCUAAAUACAACAUUGACGAGAAAAGAAAAAAUUAAGGUACAGCCUCAUAACAAUCUAAAAUUUAACUCCCCCACCCAUAACGCAGAAAGUAAAGUCCAAAAAAUUCAAUCGUGUAAAUGUGAGGUCAUUUAGUGCCAGGCUAGUUACGUGACUGAGGAUUUAACAGCCAGGGUUGCAGGAGUCCAAACUGUCCAGGUCCACUGCUGCUGGCGCCACCUGGUGGCAGUUAUCCGCUGAAGGCUGGGGAUUUGUUCUGGGUCCUAUUGGUAGUGAUGCCAGGAAUCUGCAGGUGGUAGCACCCCUUUCCUCAAUCAGAUCCAGGAGCUUGCCCAGGAGUAUUCCGACAACAAGGAGACCCACCCUCUUGUUUCCUGCUUUCCAAGAAGGGUUGCAGGUCGUGGGCAGGGGUCGAGGUGAAACACUCUGGGUCUAGUCCACGUGGGAAGCACUGGCAUCCAGCACCUGCUGCGAUAGCAGGCGGCGGGCUCUGCCACUCUGCCUGCAACAAAGUCCCUGGCUAUGGAAACCUAAUGACCACUAGUUCAAUGAGGAAGUGCUUGGAAGAGUUUGAUGCAGUUGCCUGUAUCAAAUCAUGGCUGAGAGGGGAACAUCACUUUGUCAGUGCAGCAAGGUCAGAAGAAAGAUCACACUACUAAUUUUUAAAAGUCAACAAACAGUUGAGAGACUAUUAAAAUUAUUGGAUACAUUAUUUGCACUCCAACUUACAUCAUUUAAAGCAGUUUUAUUACAGAAUAAAAGGGAAUGUAUUUUAAAUUUUUAUUUAUACUUUUUUAUAGAAUUUUUUCUUUUUCUGUUUUUUUGUUUUUUUGUUUGUUUGAGAUGGAGUCUCACUCUGUCGCCCAGGCUGGAGUGCAGCAGCAUGAUCUCGACUAACUGCAACCUCCACCUCC